rnacentral:rRNA from 1 species
GACGAACGCUGGCGGCGUGCCUAACACAUGCAAGUCGAACGGAGAUACGAUUUCGGUUGUAUCUUAGUGGCGAACGGGUGAGUAACGCGUGAGCAACCUGACCUUUAGAGGGGGAUAACACUUGGAAACAGGUGCUAAUACCGCAUAAGACCACGACCUGACAUCAGGAUGAGGUCAAAGGAGCAAUCCGCUAAAGGAGGGGCUCGCGUCCCAUUAGAUAGAUGGCGGGGUAACGGCCCACCAUGUCGACGAUGGGUAGCCGAGCUGAGAGGCUGAUCGGCCACACUGGAACUGAGACACGGUCCAGACUCCUACGGGAGGCAGCAGUGGGGAAUAUUGGGCAAUGGGCGCAAGCCUGACCCAGCAACGCCGCGUGAGGGAAGAAGGCCUUCGGG